rnacentral:rRNA from 1 species
UACAGAGGGGGCAAGCGUUAUUCGGAAUUAUUGGGCGUAAAGGGCGCGUAGGCGGCCGUUCAAGUGACGGGUGAAAGCCCUCGGCUUAACCGAGGAACUGCCUGUCAGACUGGAAGGCUUGAGACCGGGAGAGGUGAGUGGAAUUCCCAGUGUAGCGGUGAAAUGCGUAGAUAUUGGGAGGAACACCAGUGGCGAAGGCGGCUCACUGGACCGGUACUGACGCUGAGGCGCGAAAGCGUGGGGAGCAAACAGG